rnacentral:rRNA from 1 species
CACGUAGGGGGCGAGCGUUGUCCGGAUUCACUGGGCGUAAAGCGCAUGUAGGCGGCUGGACAAGUCGUGUGUUAAAGCCCCUGGCUCAACUGGGGGAGGUCAUGCGAGACUGUUCGACUUGAGGGCAACAGAGGCACGUGGAACUCCCGGUGUAGCGGUGGAAUGCGUAGAUAUCGGAAGGAACAUCAGUGGCGAAGGCAACCCCCUGGACCUGUACUGACGCUCAUGCACGAAAGCGUGGGGAGCAAGCAGG